rnacentral:rRNA from 1 species
UACAGAGGUGGCAAGCGUUGUUCGGAAUUACUGGGCGUAAAGGGCGCGUAGGCGGUUCGUUAAGUCCUGUGUGAAAUCCCCCGGCUCAACUGGGGAACUGCACAGGAAACUAGCGGGCUUGAGUUCGGGAGAGGGAAGCGGAAUUCCGGGUGUAGCGGUGAAAUGCGUAGAUAUCCGGAGGAACACCGGUGGCGAAGGCAGCUCGCUGGGACGUAACUGACGCUGAGACGCGAAAGCGUGGGGAGCAAACAGG